rnacentral:rRNA from 1 species
CAGUAGCCGCGGUAAUACGUAGGGUGCAAGCGUUAAUCGGAAUUACUGGGCGUAAAGCGUGCGCAGGCGGUGUUGUAAGACUGAUGUGAAAUCCCCGGGCUCAACCUGGGAACUGCAUUGGUGACUGCAACGCUGGAGUGCGGCAGAGGGGGAUGGAAUUCCGCGUGUAGCAGUGAAAUGCGUAGAUAUGCGGAGGAACACCGAUGGCGAAGGCAAUCCCCUGGGCCUGCACUGACGCUCAUGCACGAAAGCGUGGGGAGCAAACAGGAUUAGAUACCCGGGUAGUCCCUGUCUCUUAUAA